AUUGAACGCUGGCGGAAUGCUUUACACAUGCAAGUCGAACGGCAGCACGGACUUCGGUCUGGUGGCGAGUGGCGAACGGGUGAGUAAUGUAUCGGAACGUGCCCAGUCGUGGGGGAUAACGUAGUGAAAAUUACGCUAAUACCGCAUACGAUCUAUGGAUGAAAGCGGGGGAUCGCAAGACCUCGCGCGAUUGGAGCGGCCGAUAUCAGAUUAGGUAGUUGGUGGGGUAUAGGCCCACCAAGCCAACGAUCUGUAGCUGGUCUGAGAGGACGACCAGCCACACUGGAACUGAGACACGGUCCAGACUCCUACGGGAGGCAGCAGUGGGGAAUUUUGGACAAUGGGCGAAAGCCUGAUCCAGCCAUUCCGCGUGCAGGAUGAAGGCCCUCGGGUUGUAAACUGCUUUUGUACAGAACGAAAAGGUUUCUACUAAUACUAGGAGCUCAUGACGGUACUGUAAGAAUAAGCACCGGCUAACUACAUGCCAGCCGCCGCGGUAA
rnacentral:rRNA from 1 species